GCAUCCUGUUAAGAGUAUACAUCUUUACCGCACUUGUCAGUUCGUGUCAAGUUACAAUAAGAGUAAUUCAACAAAAAGGUGUCGUGUGAGAAUUUUCUUUUUAUACAAAAUCAUUUUUUUUUUAAACCUGUGUGCCAUUCUUUUAACAUAAAAAAAAUAUAUAUAAAAUAACAAAAAACUGACAAAAACCAAAGAAAUGUCUUCUACAACCUACUGUUUAAUCCACAUGGCAAUGUCCGGAAUAUAUGUAUUCACGGCAUAUUAUGCUUUCUUUAUUCUGGAUAUACCAUUUUUAAGAAAAAGUACCGAACAUUUCGAUCCUGGCCAAUUUAAGUACCUCACUGUGUGGAAUGUGAUUCUGCAAUCAAUAUUCUUUUUCAUCUGUAUGUUAAAUGAUGUGUAUGGAACAAAUAAAAGCAGUCCAAAAAAAACUCCAUUUAUUCGACGAUUGAAAGACUUUUUUCAUGCUGCAUUAAGUUUUCCCGUUGGUAUGUUUGUAGGUGUUACAUUUUGGUCUCUAAUGUUUGUUGAUCGUGAAUUAGUUUUGCCAAGGGCAUUGGAUCCCUAUUUUCCAUCAUGGCUGAAUCAUUUAAUGCACACGCUAAUUGUAGUGACGACAGUUAUAGAAAUUUUUAUAGCACCUCGACAAUAUCCUAAACGAAUACAAGGCCUCGGAGGACUUCUUUUAUUUAUGCUCACCUAUUUAGUUUGGAUGCAUGUGAUUUACAUGAAGAGUGGAAUUUGGGUCUACCCUGUGAUGGAAGUUUUGAUUCUACCGUUGAGGAUAGCCUUUAUUGUAGUAUUACUGUUAUUUACAGUAAUACUCUACUUCACUGGAGAAACAUUGAAUCAUCUGGUCUGGGGUAACGAUCAAUUCAAACAUCAAAAAUCUCAUAUGAAAGCCAAGUAGCCUCGCCAAUUAUCACCUCCUGGUGAUGUCUACACGCGUUCUACUCUCUACGGUGGUGGUAAAAAAUACACUCAGACAGAGAUACCAGUUUCAAAAAUGUAGAAGCAAGAAAAAUCAUCAGGAGGACUACAUCUCAAAAACUAAAUAAAUAAAUAAAUUUCUUCGUCGUCCACUAUAAAAUAAAUCCAAAGAAGUACGAUUAAGAAGAAAACCAGAUCAAUUCGAAUCGACCAAAAUAAUUGAAAAAAAUAUAUAUAUAAUAAUAACUAUAAUAUACACUAAAGGAAUCUCAAUAGAAAUAUAAUCGUAGAUUAUAUUUUUCAUCUCUUGAAUUAAAAAAAAAAUCCCUUCACUGCCUAAACGUCUCUAUUAUAUAUUUUAUCUGUACAUAAAUUAUUAUUCUUUUUUUCAAGAAUGCCUGAUUAAAGUCAUUUAUUUUACUGCCUUUUUUCUAAUUUCUGAAUGCUGUGCUAGAUAUUAAGCUUGUCUAUCUUUGUACAAAUUGUUGAAAAUAAAUGUCCAUUGUGAAUGUGUAUAUAUAUAAUUUACAUCUAGAUAAUAAACUUUGUUAAUUUGCGUUUA